GGCGGAUAACCCGGAACCGGCACGCACAUAUUGACCGGGUACGGCUCCGGUUGAACCGGCACCGGUAUGGGAACCGGGGUGGGCUGUGGGACGACUACCGGCGGAGGAUCCACCUUCUUUGGAGGCGGAGGGUUCGCUUUCGGGGGUGGUGGGUCAACCUUUUUGGGCGGAGGAGGGUCCGCCUUUUUGGGCGGAGGUGGGUCCGCCUUUUUGGGCGGAGGUGGAUCGGCUGCCUUUUGGGGCGGAGGAGGGUCGGCGGCUUUACUGGGUGGUGGUGUGUCGGCCUUUUUGGGGGGUGGGGGAUCGGCUUUUUUGGGAGGCGGAGGAUCAACCUUUUGAGGUGGGGGUGGAUCAGGUUUUUUGGAAGGGGGAGGAUCGACUUUUUUGGGUGGUGGAGGAUCGGCGG
rnacentral:lncRNA from 1 species